UCGUUGUGUACUGGGAUAAAAGAACAGUGUUUCUGCCAUCAAAUGGUGCAGUUGCUCUCUCCGAAGCGCCUGCACUUCAUCAGUUUCAGUCCCAGUGGAGAAAUCUUUAGCUGAUGUUACCAGGCUCCUGCUGCUUCUGACUGAAAAGCUUUGUGCACCAGCUGGAGCUUUUUUAGCUUUUUUGGCCAGCACAGGCCAGACAACCUCAACCAGGGAUUCCUGCAUCAUGCCCAGAACUUCUGGUUGAGCUCGAGAAUCUCUCUCCAAAAGACAUCCAGUGCUGCCUGAGUGACCACAAGUGACGGAGACUGCCCCACGUCCCUGAAUACGCUGUUCCCAUGAUGAAUUACCCUUGCCGUUACAAAUGUGCUCCUUAUUUCUAGUCUGAAUUCAUCCAGCUUCAGCUUCCAUCCAUUGGCUCUUGUUCUGCCUUGUCUGCUGGAUUAAAGAGCCCUCUAUGAUCAGAAAUCUUCACCUCCUGGAGGUCCUUACAGAUCAGAAUCAAGUCACCUUUUAGCUUUCUCUUGGACAAUUAACAGACUGAGUUUUCACUGAGAGGCCGGUCUUCCAGACCUUGAAUCAUUCUUGUAGCUCUUUUCCGAACCCUGGCCUUUGCACUCAUUGUACUUACCCAUUCGUAUUACCAUGAAGUUAUUUCUGUAUAAAAUAAACCGGAUUAGACAAGCAAUAU